CUUACACGUCGACCGCUUGGUUGGCCGCUCGAGUAGAGGAAACAAGGACGAGGAAACAAUUCUGAGACCAUCUCUAACCUAAGAUGAAGCAGGAACGACGAAUAAGAGAGAAAACUGAAAUAGACUGAUGCGAGUGAGAUAGAGAUAGAAAGAUCGUAACAUCUCGUGAAGCAGCAAUAUAGAAGGAUUCCCCUAAACAAACGUUCACAGUCGAUCAGAGAUUCGAGAAUCUCUUAGGACCAGACUGACCCUCAAAAAUACUCCAUUUACGAUGAUCCAACACAGAAAAUAAAUCUAUAUAUACCUCCGACGAAAAGUGGUGACAACAAGUGUUUGUAAAUCUGACCCAUCAAGGUAUUAUAAGUAUAAUAAAUUAUGAUAUCGUAGGAAAAAAGUCGUGAAUUUGUAGACAUUCAUUUGGCCGAAAGUUUAUCGAUAAGCUACGAAUACCAAGAAUAUGUAUACAUGUAACAUAUUUCACCAAGAAGAUACGGAAAGAGGGAACGGAAAGGGGUAUAUAAUAUUUUGGCAAACAGAACGUGAUGAUUCACCGAAGUAAGAAAGACCGUGUCGAGAGUGCGAAGGACUUCGUUAAAGAAACCUAGCAGCAAGAGGAUAUCGUUGAAUCUUUAAAACCAAAGGGAUCUAGAACUACUGAAAUAUUUUCUAUAAUAAAAAUGUAAAAAAGA